rnacentral:rRNA from 1 species
AAUGAACGCUGGCGGCGUGCUUAACACAUGCAAGUCGAACGAGAAACCCCGGCUUGCCGGGGGAGUAAAGUGGCGCACGGGUGAGUAACGCGUGGGUAAUCUACCCUCGAAUUGGGGAUAACACAUCGAAAGGUGUGCUAAUACCGAAUAAGACCACGGCGGCUUCGGCCGCUGGGGUCAAAGAUGGCCUCUGCUUGCAAGCUGUCGUUUGAGGAUGAGCCCGCGUCCCAUUAGCUUGUUGGUGGGGUAAGAGCCCACCAAGGCGACGAUGGGUAGGUGGUCUAGGAGGAUGGCCAGCCACACUGGAACUGGAACACGGUCCAGACUCCUACGGGAGGCAGCAGUGAGGAAUUUUGCGCAAUGGGGGCAACCCUGACGCAGCAACGCCGCGUGAGUGAAGAAGGCCUUCGGGUUGUAAAGCUCUGUCAAGCGGGAAGAAACUUUUUCGAAUGAAUAAUUCGAAAAAUUGACGGUACCGCUGAAGGAAGCACCGGCUAACUCCGUGCCAGCAGCCGCCGUAACAC